AUUUACUUCUCUCAUUAUCCACCCUUCAAAUAAGCUCAUCAUUUUUUUUGGGCUUUUGGUUUGGUUUUGUUUUGUUGUCUGUGUUGUGGUAUACAGUAAUUCUAGAAUUAUUAGCCCCUAUUUAUCUGAAAAUUCUCAGGUCCACCCUAAAAGUUUUGUUACUUGCCCUGCUUAUGAUUAAUACAUGCUGCAUUGAUUGGUCCUAUUAUUUUGCUACUGAUGUAGUUUGCUAUUGUGAUAAAU
rnacentral:lncRNA from 1 species